rnacentral:rRNA from 1 species
AGUGAACGCUGGCGGUAGGCCUAACACAUGCAAGUCGAACGGCAGCACAGUAAGAGCUUGCUCUUACGGGUGGCGAGUGGCGGACGGGUGAGGAAUACAUCGGAAUCUACUUUUUCGUGGGGGAUAACGUAGGGAAACUUACGCUAAUACCGCAUACGACCUACGGGUGAAAGCAGGGGAUCUUCGGACCUUGCGCGAUUGAAUGAGCCGAUGUCGGAUUAGCUAGUUGGCGGGGUAAAGGCCCACCAAGGCGACGAUCCGUAGCUGGUCUGAGAGGAUGGUCAGCCACACUGGAGCUGGGACACGGUCCAGACUCCUACGGGAGGCAGCAGUGGGGAAUAUUAGACAGUGGGCGCAAGCCUGAUCCAGCCAUACCGCGUGGGUGAAAAAGGCCUUCGGGUUGUAAAGCCCUUUUGUUGGGAAAGAAAAGCAGCAGGUUAAUACCCCGCUGUUCUGACGGUACCCAAAGAAUAAGCACCGGCUAACUUCGUG